AACGAACGCUGGCGGCAGGCCUAACACAUGCAAGUCGAACGCCCCGCAAGGGGAGUGGCAGACGGGUGAGUAACACGUGGGAACGUACCCUUCGGUUCGGAAUAACACAGAGAAAUUUGUGCUAAUACCGGAUACGUCCGAGAGGAGAAAGAUUUAUCGCCGAUGGAUCGGCCCGCGUCUGAUUAGCUUGUUGGUGAGGUAACGGCUCACCAAGGCGACGAUCAGUAGCUGGUCUGAGGGGUUGAACGGCCACAUUGGGACUGAGAUACGGCCCAGACUCCUACGGGAGGCAGCAGUGGGGAAUAUUGGGCAAUGGGCGCAAGCCUGACCCAGCAACGCCGCGUGAAGGAAGAAGGCUUUCGGGUUGUAAACUUCUUUUAUCAGGGACGAAGGAUGUGACGGUACCUGAUGAAUAAGCCACGGCUAACUACGUGCCAGCCGCCGCGGUAACAC
rnacentral:rRNA from 1 species